AUCAAGGAUCUGAUCACCAUGUUUCAGCAAAUUGUUAGAAUACCAGGUCAAGAAAAACUUUCCUUUUGCAGUUAAGUACUCUGCCGAUCCAAAGAACUCUGUUGAUCCAGGUUUGUCAUUAUAAUCUCCUGCAUUAUCUGGUAAUUCCCACUCAGGGUGCCCUUCCUUUAUUGCUGCUUCCUUAAAAUCCGCUUUAAGAUAUUUGUCAUAGCACUGCAAUAUUUGGCGUACAGUUUCUCAAUUUUGAAUACCCAAUAUUGUAGAUAUUCUAUUUUACAAGUUGAAAAGGAGGGGGGAGGGGACUGGUUCAUCGUAUUUUCUACCUAUGGUCUCACCUGAAAUUCUCCAAUACCAGGAAAAACCCAUCCUUGGUUUUCUGGAUAAGAGGGAUAUCUGAGCUCCCCUGCAGGACCUAGCCCUACUUCAAUGUCUGUUAAGAGUUCAGCAUCCAAAUAAUCUGCCAUGUUGUCUCUAAAGCUCUUCAUGAAGUCACUGUAAAUCUACAGAUUUCAAGAUAUUAUAUAUUUAUCCGUGCUAGAUAUCUGUCUAACAAGUAAGUUUGGCAACCAAACUUUUAUAAAAAUAAGUCCUUAUUUUUUUUAAAUGCAUCUUUUUAUAAUUUUUUUGGAUAUAUAUGUUGAAGAGGUUUUUCAUAUUCGUUAAUUCACAAAAAAGUAAGGGCUUAUUUCAGAAAAAAGUAGAGUUUUAUGUACUUUUCUCCAGAAAUAAACCCUUAUUUCUGAAAAAUAAGGUUGAACGGCCUAAAAUGAAGCUAAAAAAGAGUCGCUAUCUGAAAUAGCUGUGUGAUGAAGCAAAAAAAAGUUAGUAUCUAACAUAGCUGUGUAACGAAGCUAAAAAAGUCAGUAUCAGUAUGCUUAUGCUUUUUAAUAGAAUAAGUAUAAAUGUGCUUAUACUUUAAUUUAAAGAGAAAUACUAACCUCCACUGCCGUUCGACCCUCAAAUAGAGGUAGAUUGUCCACACCAAGUGUGAGGUACUCUGUAUUUCUGUUACCAGCUCGAUUAGUGUAGAAGAUGUCAGGAUCUGUUUUUCCGACAUCAAGCACCCAGUUGGGAAGUGGGAUAUUAACUGUAUCGCCAACAUUUCCACCACAUUGGUGGAAGGACAUGACAACUUGCAACUUCAGACCACACUGUUGGACAAGUUGGAACAAGCUUUUAUAAGCACUCCAAUCAUAUUGCUUAGAGCCUUUGGAUUCCACCAAUCCCCACCAGACAUCCACCAUGACCCCAUCAACGCUUGCUUCUUUCAGCUGCGUAAGCUGCCGCUCUAAUCCGUCCUUAUCUUGUAAUAUACUGUCACUUGAAAUGAUAUCCAGCUGUCGUCACCAUGAAAGAGUAACAUAAUGGACAUAAAUAUAUUAGUACUGGACAAGUGUAUGUUCAUUGCAUGGUUGUAAUAGUAACUGACCUGGAGCAUCACAUAGAUUGGCACAUAGUUUGGUAGCAUCUUUUCCUCGUCACGAAGGGGAGCUGGAGUCUGCAUAUUUGAAAAAAGAUAUGAUAACUAAGAGCAGAUUUGCUUCUCUAUGUAAUGUAUUCUGUAACCCUUUUAUAGAUGGUUGAGUGUGGUAUAUUGCCUUCUUAUCUUUAGAAGGCAGCAUAGUAAUGUGAGCCAACUGCCCUGUGCGUCAUCUUGUUAACAUGAACCAAAUCAUAAUUCUGUGAUUGUUUGGACCAAUUCUAAUGCGAUUCUGCUCCUCCUUUAAACCUUUUGUCCUACACUCUGGAUUGUCCUUCAGAAAGCAUUGGAUACAGUGUUUUAAGCUUCCCCCAAUNNNNNNNNNNNNNNNNNNNNNNNNNNNNNNNNNNNNNNNNNNNNNNNNNNNNAAAAGAGAAGUUAAAACCAUAUUUUAAAAACUUAGGUGACUUACUCAAUUAGCUUUUGGAGCCCGAUGUCAAAAACUUGAACUUAUAGUUAAUUUGAAGAGUAGUGCAAGCCAUAGCAAUAUAAUCAUACAUAUUAAUGUUUUUACUACUGUUGAACUGCUCAGCCACGAUUUAGAUAUAUUAUAAUAAGACCAUAUGAAUGUUAUUAUGCUAGACAAUCAUGCUUACAGUUCAUCAUAUUCUCUUUUAACCAUCUGACCUGAAUAUAUUAUGUUGUUGUAGUCCAAACUUGACAAAUUGAAGACUGUUUACCUCUUGGUCAGUGGUGAAGACCUCAGUCGUAGUAGCUUGAAUCUUUUCAACUGUUAUGUGGGCGCUAAAUGUCAGAGUAUGCGUGAAGUCUUGUGCAUUUGCUGGCUUAAUUUUCUCAAACUUUUGCAGUGUUGAUUGGAGAAAUAUAGGAUGGCUUAGUCGAGACUCUGCUGGUAAGCCACUUAGUUUUGGAUAUACAAUGUUUGACAUGGCACCUGUUUAUACACUUGAGUGGUUGUAGUGCAAAUUUGUUAUGUUGUUCUUGAAGUAGAUUGUCAUGGCAAUAUAUCCUGUAGAAAUAGAAGGAAGAAGCCAUAGGAAUAACAACGUGUUGAAUAUGAAAGAAAAAUCUAAGCUGAUAUUUCUUGAUUGUGAUUGUUGUUUUAGGCUUGUGGCAAAUUGUUCGAGGUCUUCUGGGUGUGCAUGUUGGCUGUGUGAAUGUUAGUGAAACGAACGUGUGGUUUUGAAGCUUUUAAUGAAGCCAUGGAGUUUGUGGUGGAAGAGAUGAUCAAGAUGGAUGAUUCUUAGAAAACAAGUGGCUUGUGAUUUUUUUACAAAUAUGCAUAGCAACAAAUAGCAGCACAAUUAUCUAGUUUGUGUCUUGUUAUUUUGGUCUGUAUAAAUUGACUCAUCAAAUCCCUGUGUUAUAUAAAUAAAAAUUCAAAAAUGUAUCUUAAUUCAUCAGUUACAUCCUUA
rnacentral:lncRNA from 1 species